rnacentral:rRNA from 1 species
UACGUAGGGUGCAAGCGUUGUCCGGAAUUAUUGGGCGUAAAGAGCUCGUAGGCGGUUUGUCGCGUCUGCUGUGAAAACUCAGGGCUUAACCCUGAGCCUGCAGUGGGUACGGGCAGACUAGAGUGUGGUAGGGGAGAUCGGAAUUCCUGGUGUAGCGGUGGAAUGCGCAGAUAUCAGGAGGAACACCGGUGGCGAAGGCGGAUCUCUGGGCCAUAACUGACGCUGAGAAGCGAAAGCAUGGGGAGC